AUGCCUUAAACUAAUGAGUAAGGAAAAUAACUAGCCGGGGUGACGCCUGGUUCCUCACUGCUCAUGUGAGAAGAAUUUUUGAGCAAGUACAGGUUGCCCUUAGGAGGACCCACCUACUUUGUGGGACUUUCAGGAGUAGUGUUCUGCCCG